UACGAAGGGGGCUAGCGUUGCUCGGAAUUACUGGGCGUAAAGGGCUCGUAGGCGGCCAACUAAGUCAGACGUGAAAUCCCUCGGCUUAACCGGGGAACUGCAUCUGAUACUGGAUGGCUUGAAUCCGGGAGAGGGAUGCGGAAUUCCAGGUGUAGCGGUGAAAUGCGUAGAUAUCUGGAGGAACACCGGUGGCGAAGGCGGCAUCCUGGACCGGCAUUGACGCUGAGGCGCGAAAGCCAGGGGAGCAAACGGG
rnacentral:rRNA from 1 species